rfam:Plasmodium falciparum IGH-CR14 genomic scaffold supercont1.185, whole genome shotgun sequence.
UAUAAGGCUUCACUAGAAGCCAUUCUUUAAAAGUAAUUAUUUUUUU